CAUUGGCAAGAAACAGAAACAGGUAGUUUUGUUAAAAAAAAAAAAAAGCCACCAAAGGAAAAAAAAUCCUAGACUCAAUACCAAACAUAUCUUUUUCUCCCAAAUCUGUUCUUCCUCUGAACUUCCUUUUCUUCCCCCCUUUUUUCCAUUUAAGAGCAUCACUAUCUACUCUGCUGCCCAAAUGAAAGGACAUUUAUUGACUCUUACAUGGAAGACUAUUUGGGACCCUUUAUAGGGUGUCUAGAAAUCUCAGCAUCAUUCUUUAACUCAUCUUGCCCAUAGUCCCUCCUAAACAUUUCUUCCAUCCAUCAUCUCCCCAUUUCCACCACCUCAGUCUCAUUACCAAUUCUCCCCUGGUCUAAUGUGAUGGUCUUAGAAGCAGCUUUCUUUCUUUUUUAAUGUUUGCUUAUUUUCAAGGGGGGAGGGAGGAAAGGGCAGAAAGGCAGGACAGAGAGAAUCCCAAGCAGGCUCCACACCAUCAGUGCAGAGCCCAUCACCGGGCUCAAAGUCACGAGCUGUGAGAUCAUGACCUGAGUCGAAAUCAAGAAUAAGAUGCUUAACCCACUGAGCCACCCAGGUGCCCCCCUUUUUUAAUGUUUAUUUUUGAGAGAGAGAAAGAGCGAGCACAUGUGCUUUCCUGACUCGUGUCUCACUCAGUUCAAUCCAUCCCUCACAGCCACCUAAGGAUUUUUAAGUGAAAACACCAUAAUGCCCUCUCCCACUCAACACUCUUGCCUGAUUCUUACCAUGUACAGGAUGAAGGAUACCCCAUAACCGUCCUCCUGUCAUUCCUCUUGCCAUCACUCCCCACUUGCCUCCUCCCAUUCAUCCAUGUCCUAAUAGCCUGGUUGGGAUUCUCUCUCCCUGCCUCUCUCUGACUCUCCACCCAUGUGUGCAUGCUCUCUCUCAAAAUAAAUAAACUUAAAAAACAAUUCCAGGGUCCUGGCACAAGCUUUUUCCAUUGCUUAGAAUUUCUUCUCCCUGCCUUCCUCCUGAACUCUUACUGAGUUCUCUUGAGACCCAACUCAAGCAUUGGAUUUCUUCAGGAAAGUCCUAGUCCUGAGUUUUAUUUACCUUUGUAUCCCCAGAGGUGAACUCUCCCUGGACAUACUCAAAUAAAUGGUAAUAGGGAGAUUGGGCUCCCCUGUGUAUCUGUCUCAUUAGAGCCUAUGUUCCUUGAGUGAUGUAAGAGUAUCUUGUCCAUCUGUCUAACCUCUCCACUUGUUGCAAUGCCUGGUAUAUAUGGAUGCUCAGUGUGUAUUUGUGGAAUUGUUUUUAAUAUGAUUGGGAAAAAACUUUCAGUUCAAAAAAAUUUAAAAAUCCCUGUGAGCUUAUUUUUAAUUAGCUCACUUUUUUAUUUAAGAAUUUUCCUUCUCCUUGAAAUUACAGAACACCGCAAGCAUUAAUUUACUCCACAAAGAUUCAAUCUCUGCAACUCCUGGCUUUCAAUGGUAACCCAACUAAUUGGGGCACCUUGGGGACAAUAAGGCAUUCCAAACAUACUUUCUACUUUGAAUUGCCUGGCAGAUGAAAGGCUAUUGAUUUUCUUGAGCAGAAGGGCCUUCUUCGAGAAAUUUCACCAGCAUUUAACUUUGGAGGGGACAGAGCCCUGUGUUUCUAUGUGCAGAAUUUUACUCUUAAGAGCAGGGCUACCAAUGGGCUGUGGCUGUUACUUGGAAAUCCAGUGCCCCAUCCAACAUACAGGACCAUUACAAGAAGGGAUAUGGAUUGAGGAAAUAGGGCAAGACCUAGGGCUUAUAAUAGACCCUCUAUACCAGCCAAAGGAUUAUCUAAUUUUCUCACCCACUCCCCCUACCUCACAGAAAAUUAACUAUGAUGGACCUAAAGAACAGGAAUAAAACUCCUCUUCGUGCAUAGCUGCAAUGGCCAUUAGCACCUAAAGAACAGUCUCCCCUUGGUAUGACUAACUGGGGAACAUCUUCAUUGGCAAGGAAGCCCACCAAAGCGAUUGCAGACACCUGGCCAAGUCAGCUGGGGUGGGGGUCAGAAGAAUACCUACACCUCCCAUUCUCCCAAUGUUGCUGAUCCACAAGCAAAAAAAAAAAAAAAAAAAAAAAAAAAAUCAAGAAUGAACCACAGUAUUAGUGCUACAGAUGUGGUUAUCCUGCCUGCUUUUUUAAUACAAUUUCUCCUCAUUUCUCUGUAAUCGAUUUUGAGUUCUAUUAUUUGAGUUGAGAGGAGAAACAGAAUGAGCAUUUUAAAUAACAUGUUCAUAUUUUGGUAAAAUGAAAGUAGGCCAUACACUGACCAUUCUACACCUUCUUAGGAAUGGAUUUUUCCUUUUAUGAAUUUUUAAGAAGUCCUUGAACCUGUAACAAAAAUAAAUCUGUAUCUCUGGCAGGAAUGCAAAAGUCAUAGAGCCACAUUAGAAAACAGUUUAGUGGUUUCUUUAAAACACACUCUUAUACUCUUACCAUACAAUCCAGCAACUGUGCACCUGUUUUUUCCCCCCAGAAGAGUUGAAAACCUAUGCCCACACAAAAACCUGUACACAAAUAUUUAUAACAGCUUUAUUCAAAACUGUCAACACUUGGAAACAACCAACAUGUCCUUCAGUAGGUGAAAGCACAAAAACUGUGGUACAUCCAGACAAUGGAAUAUUAUUCAGCAUUAAAAAGAAAUGGGCUAUCAAGCCAUGAAAAGACAUGAAAGAAACUUAGAUGUAUAUUACUAAAUGAAAGAAGUCAAUACUAAAAGGUUACAUAUUGUAUAUUUCCAACCAUAUGGCAUUCUAGAAAAGGCAAAACUAUGGAGAUAGUUAAGAUAAAUGGUUGCCAGGUCUUAAGUGGAAGUAAGAGAUGAAUAAGUACAGAACAAAGGAAUUUUAUGGUGUAAAAAUUCAAUACUGUAAUGGUAGAUACACCAUAUAUUUCAUGGGUUUUGACAAAUGCAUGACAUCGAGAGUGAUCCCUCAUGUUCACUAUGGACUUUGGGUGAUUAUUAUGUGUUAAUUUAUGUCCAUCAGCUUUGAGAUGUACCACUGUGGUGUGUUAUGUUGACAGCGGUUGAGGCAAUCAAUUUGAGGGAAAAGGUAUAUGUGAAUGCUCUGUACUUUUGCUCAGUUUUGUUGGGAACCUAAAACCUCCAAGACAAAGUCUAUUUAAGUAAACAAAGAAAAAAAAUUUCAGUCUCUCUGAAUAGGUGGUUUGUUUUUUUGUUAUUGUUGUUUUGUUUUGCUUUUCCAAAUUUCAGUUGUCUUAUGAGAUAGAUACUUCUGGAAAAUGAACUUUAAAGAAUAAGAGAAUGCUCCUUACCCCAAAUAAAGUGAAGUUCUAAGAAAUUCACUGUGACAAACACAGACAAAUCACAUAGCCCUGUCUUUAUACCUCAGAAUCCCAACUAUGAACAUGAUAAUGGCUGUCAUGUUCUGCUAAUACAGUUUCUAUUAUCAAGGCCUAGAAAACCCGAACACUGGGAACAUAAUGUGAAUUCCACUGAAAAAUUUAAAAGAAAUUUAAAAUUUUUCCUUUCUUUCUUUCUAAGGCUCUUCCCUUUUUAGGUUUAUUCUGUAUUACUGCCUGGGAGUAAAACAAGACAAAUGUGUUAGGAUAAGAAAAAAUUGGCAUACAGGUCUCCAUGAAGGACAAGAGAAAAGCAGUUAAAGACUAAACCACACCUACAAAUUAUCAACUUUGAAUUGAAAUUACAGGAAAAUAAGAAAAUUGAAAGGGAUGUCUUUACAAAAUAAGGGUUUUAGAGUGGUUAUGUCUGGAGAAAAGGAGGAGGAAAGGAGACAAUGGUGAGAAAAGCUUAAUGGAGGCAUGGUGGGAAGGGUGCCAUGUCAGUGAAUAAAACAGUCACUCUUCUUCUGAAGUUCACAACAUGGUAGGUAAAAAAAAAAAAAAAUGUAAGCACAUAGCUACAUGCAAUAUAGGCAGUCAGUGAUAAGCUCUAUGACACAGAUGCAAAGGUCAAAAAGAAAGGGGGGUGGAGGCAAGCAGGGCCAUUUUAGAAGACCUUCUGAGGAGGGCAGAUUUGGCUGAUCCUCAGAGAAAUGGCAGGCCUCCUGCAGGUAGAAGUUAAGGACAGCCAUGAAGGUCGUGCCUGAUAAAGUUAUGGCCAGAGGUAAGACAGAACUGGGUCAGGAAUAAAUGGAUUCAUUCAUUCAUUCACAUUCAACAAACAUCUCUUUAGCACCUGCCAAUGGCAAACAUUGUAGGUGGUGGAAGAAGUUAGGCAAAAUACGAUGAUCAGGGUGAAACUUCACACAAAUAUGAACAUUAGGUUACAUUUCUUAGAGGCAGCAGAGAGCCUGGUGGGAUGGAUGCCAUUGGUGCCUUGCUCCCUGUGGAUUCCUCCCUCUUUCUAGUGUCCCUUCCCAUACAGAGGCUGGCAAAUUAAAACCUACAUUUACUACACUCCUUGAAGCCAGGGUUCUGAAGGAGAAUUAGGUUCCAUCAAUUUGAUGCAUUUGCAUGAACUCUGGAAGGUGGAAAUUAGAAGGAGACCAUUUUCCUGACUUCUUUUGGCUGCCCUUCACUUUGAUAAGAUCAUAAAGGUACGAUGUUUUCCUGCAGCAUUCUGGGGUACAGUGUCUUGCUGGGUGAGGAAAAGCAGUUGAGGGGCAGUAGCACCAUGGAUUCCUGAUCCAUGAAUAACUAUGGCUGGAAGUUCUUAAACUCCAGGCUUUUAGUAGACAUUGGUGCAUCCUUCCUGUACCUGUUCCUUUAACCCUCCUCUGAUAUUAUCAUUCCUAACCCCCAUGUUAAAUCCUUUCCUGAUUGAAAUACAUAGAGUGACCUCUGCUUCCUACACUGAAUUUUGAUGAGUAUAGCCAAUAAAGAGUUUUAAGCAAGGGAGAGAUAGGAGAUUUGUGCUUCAGGAAGGGACCUUGGUGGCUGCUUCAAAGACAAACUGGAGACAGAUUUAGGAAACUCUUAGGAAUGUCCAGCCUAGACCAAUGUGCCUGGGAUACUGGGACUGAAUAAAACAGUUGUAGUGGGAAGAGAGAAGGAAUGGAAAUACGAUACUCCCUAAGUUGAAUUUAUAGGAUCUACUGAAAAUGGAGAUGAGAGAAGAAAUUUAAACUUCGCCCUACUUCAUCCCAACCCUGCCGGGGUCCUCUGCACUCUGUUCUUCACCAUCAUAGGACCUGUCAUACUUCCUUAAAAGUCAUCCUUCUCUUCAGGCUUCAGACCUUUCUGCUCUUUGCUGCAGCCUAAGUGCAGAGCACAGCAAAUAGCCCCUAAUAGAAUGCUCAGUAGACACUGGUUGGGUGGAUAGAAAGGGAGAAAGGAAAUAUCUAACCUCAGAGACACUGUGAGGAUUGAGAUUCUAUUAACCAAGGAAGUAGUCACAGGCUGAGUACUGCUUGAGUAAUACUGAAUCUUGGAUUACAUGGGGAAUCCAGGUGAAGAAUAUUAGCACACCAGUAGACAUAAGAGUCUGGUGGUUGGGAAGUAGGAGCUUAGACACAAAUCUUAGAAUUACUGCACAGAAUGAAAGCUGAAUACUUCCCAGGAAAAGAUGAUGCCUCAAUAAAGCUUGGGUGAUACCCAUAUUAUUAUAAUUACACAGUGAAGAGAGUCUAAAAUGCCAGUCACCAUUUGAGACACUAUAUGUACACUGUCCUUUUAAUCUUACAACAACUUAUAAGUGAGGUGUUAUCAUCCUCAUCUUACAGAGAAGGAAACUGAAGCUCAGCAAAGUGAAGAACUGCCCAAGGUCACAUAGCUGGUGAGGACAGAGCUGAGGUUCAAACCCAGGUCUCCCCAACUCUAAACCCUGUGCUCAUUGUUCUCCCUCAGCUGACAUGAGAAGAAAGAGUUAGUGACAGUGACAAAGGACUGGUCAGAGAGGAAAGAAGAGAAGUAGAGAAAUGACAGAACACAAAAUCCAAUUAAGCAGAUAAAAAAAAAAAAGACUGUAGACUAGAAGAUGCUCACAGGAAUCAGAAGUCAAUCAGGAGUUUCUUUAACAAGAGCAAGAUGCUUAUGGGCCAAAGAGAACAGUGAAAGGUAGAAAUCAGAGAUGUAAGAGGUGAAGGCAAUGAGUAAGAAACGUCUUAAAAAGAUGCAAAGAAUGGAUAAGCAGCCUUUGAGAAAAGAAGGACAACAGACAAAGUUUUAAAAUUGAGUUGUGGUCCCCCACCUGAUACUGACAAAGCAAACGUUGAGUACCUAACAAAUUACUUUGUUUGCCAAUAAACCUAACAGAUGUCAGGCAUAUGCACUGAUCAGGCUACAUGCAAAGAGAAACAAUUUUCCUUUUGAUUGGAAUUCUAUCAAUCUAUUUCAUAGCACUGAUUAGCUCAUGCGGAUAAGAAGCUCUGAUAGGAAGUUAAAUUUGUAUUUGGUCAGCCAAAAGAAAGUGAUCAGUAAUUAUCAUUUAUUAAAGAUGGUCUUUUUAUUUUCAUAGCCUUCCAAAAUCCAUGGUAGGGGAUAAUGAAAAGGGUCCUUCAUAGCAAAACAAUUAUUAACUGUCACUAAAGACUAUGUCAGCAGAACUACAGAAAUACACAGAAUACAAUCAGAUAUUAUCUAAAUAGCUACAAACAUUGGAAUGAGAAAAGAGAAAAUGGAAUACAAUCAAGCAGUAAAUAGAUUGGAUUUAACCAAUCUAAUAGUGAAGCAAUCCGGAUGGAUGAUUAUAGACCUAAAUCAGACUAAAGAUAUAACCAGAAUCCAUCUGAUGAGGACUAGAAGACCAUUCCACGUGGACAUGUGGAUUUGGAGACUUCCCUGGCAUUGCAACCUUGGAAGAGAGGUCUAUGUGUCCCCCACAGUUUUAAGAAAAAUCCACCUGGACACGAGCACCUCCUGACCUUAAAGCCUAGCAGAAUGGUUGAUGGCAGAAUUGUUUUCUUGGUGGGUAAACAUCUGUUAAGCCUGGGAGUAUCUAGAAAUACAUGGAAAUAAUGUUAUAAAUUAAAUCUAUCAUAUCAAUAUUUUUGUGUUCAGUAUUUAAAGAGUAUAUAAUGUUUAUGAGGAUCUGGCACAUUGGCCUAGCUAGCAGAUGACCAUUUCAAUUCCAAGGUAAAUUAUGUGGUUGAAUAACUAAGCCCGGUGACUUCAAGUUAAGAUGUAUGGCAGAACUUUGCUUAAGUUUGUCACAAUACUGGGAGGUUUAGGAGAAGUUUUACCACGUUACACAUUUAUUGUAUUUGUAAGAAUCAUGAAAAAUUUCCUUCAUUAGGAAAAUGAGGUCUUAAAAAGGAAACAGAAUAUUAAAACUAUCAAUGCAUUAGAAUGUUUAGGAGACUUUAAAUGAGGCCAAACUGUAACCAGAUUGCUUGUGACAAUUAACAUUUAUAGAUUUAGAAUUAAAUAAUAAGGUGUGUGUGUUUAAAAGUUAAAGGAAAAACUAGAAUCUUGAAUUUGUAACCUUAAUAAAAUAUUAAUGUUUAAAUGGCUGGCAAAUACAAAGUCCUUGGGGAGCACAAGAGCCCCAUCAAGGAUAGCAAGAAGCUCACAUUGACAUGGUCACUGAUAUGAAGGGACGAACAUCUGCAACCUACAUACCAGGCACCUACUGUGUGCCACCAGCUGAGAGAACAAAGACACUGAAGACAGCAUGGUGGGGAAGACAGAGAGGAGCACAGAGGAGCAACUGCAACAUGGAAAAAAGUACCUCAGAAGGAGGAAGGGCCAGGAUGCCUGGGGAGGUUGGCACAGCCAGCCCUGAUCUGAGGGAGAUCUCCCUGGAGAACUGAGCCUGUGGAGUGGAAUAGGGGGCCACCUUGAACAAUGGCUGAUAAUGGUCUCAAUCACAGCAAACCAGGCAAUAAUCUACAAAGAAAAGAGGCAAAGGAGGUGGUUCUAAAGGCUUUAGAGAGAUCUCAAAGAGUUCCACGGGAGAACCAGGAGAAAAGAAAAGGCAAAAAGCUAGGCUGUAUUGCCUGAAACUGAGGUUUUCUCUGCUUACACAAGAUGUUCUUUCUGCUGGCUGCAGGCUCAUCAUUAUGACAAUAGCAGCACUCAGCUGCCUGUCUCUGAACCAGGAAGAAUCUGGAACCAAACUAGAAGAAACUGGAACCAAUCUACUAUAGAGGAGAAUUUCUGGUUAAUAGAAAAGGAGAAUUUGUAGCCCCUUAGAAUAUUAAGCCUCAGUGGCACUUUAGAGACCGCAUACUUCUGCAUUCUCAAUCCUAGCUACAUUUCAAAAAACUAAAAAUGCCAAAGCCCCAUCUGGGACCUGCUGUAUCACUCGUUGGAGGGGGGAGUCCCAAGAAUGUGUAUAUUUACUUUGUUAUGGUGGUUUUUAGUAAUAAUAGCAGUAUUAGUAAUAUAUAUUUACUGUUUAACAAAAUCUCAAACACCACAAGUAUAUGAAGUAAAAAGAGAAAUUUCCCUUCUUCACCUUUUCUAAUCCCAGAGGCAUUUAUUCCAUAACAUGUAGGAGUAUGUGAGGGAGUGUAUGUGUAUUUUAAAGGCCUCCCAACUAAUAGAUAAUGUGUUAACAGUAGAAUCUGGGUGGUGGGUGUUCACUAUAAAACUCAUCCUACAGGGGCACCUGUGGGUGGCUCAGUUGGUUAAGUGUCCAACUCUUGAUUUUGGCUCAGGUCAUGAUCUCACAACUCAUGAGAUUGAGCCCCAGGUCAGGCUCAGCACUGACAGACAGAGCUUGCUUGGGAUUUUUGGUCUCCUUCUCCCUCUCAAAUUAAAUAAACAAACAUUAAAAAAUUCAUUAUAUAUUUCUGUUUUAAGAUGUUAUCAUGUGACAACCACUGGUUUAAGCACAACCCAAAAUUACGAAUGAGAAAACUUUGGACAACAGAGGUAAUCCUAUCUGCCCCAAAUCUAACAGGGUAGGGGUCAGAGUCAGCCCAUGAACCCGGAUCUUCCAGCUUUCUGUCUAGUAUUCUUUCCAACACACUAUGCAAUCUCUAACAGGAGAGGCAGCCCCAGAGCAGACUAGGCAAGAAGACAUAGAAGUUGCCUUUUCUCGACUUUAAAUGACCAAGACUCUUGUAUUUUGACUUUUCCUUGUGGCAGAAAACAACACUAGAACUCAGAUGCUACGAUCUUUAUUUUGUGUAUGUUCAUUAAAUUACACUUCUCUACCUUACUGAUUCACACUGCCUUCAAGGACUUUCAGAUUCCACACAAAAUUCCAGCAUACAUUCACCUUCAUUUGCCUUCUGAAGUAUUAAAGCCCACUGGAACUCCUUGCUGUCGCAGAGAGGAAGAAAAAGGACAUUUUCAAAAAUGUUAAGCAUUAUCCUCUAAAGCCAACGAGGAAACGUCACAACAAAAUGACGGUACAAGAACAUUCCUGAUCAUAAGUGAAUAAUAAGACAGUAAAUUGCAAUUGCUGAAUGGGGGAUAUUAGCAUCAGUAAAAGGUUGGAAAAUAACCUUUAUAGAUGCUAAGAUUCAUUUUGUGGAAGGAAGUGGAAAGACAGGGAUUAAAUUAAAUUAGUCUGAAUUCCAAGCAGUAUCGUUACAAAAUAAGGGCACUGUUUAUUGCCAAAUUUUAUAUGCAAGAAAGGCAACUUUUUCCUAUUCCCACAUAAAACUUAGGAAAAGUCUAACUUACGGAAUCUCUUUGUGGAAGAGCCCAAACAUUAGGGAUAAAUAUUAAGGCUUCAUCUGCCAGCCCAGGGAGAACUCAUGGCUUUUUGUUCUUCCCAGCAGUCAGUUCAAAAUAUAAGGAUAGGGACAUAUAAAUCAGGAGACCUGGUUUCUAGUCCCAGCUUUGUCACUAAAUUGCUUUUUCUCAGCUUCCUUACCUGCAAAAAUGGUGUCUAAAUGGCCUUUCAGGUGUCUUAGAAUGCUAAAACCCUGGACUCAAUACCUGUGUAUUCCAUCUAAGACAUUUGGUAAGCAGUGUCCCAGAAGAGUGAUCUUAAAUACCACUACCUGCAUAUUUUUCUCCUAUCAUUCUUGCUCAUCCUCCACUCAUCCCCAACCAGUUCUUAAAAAUGUAGUCUGUAAGGAAACAUUACCCCAAAAGGAAAAGGCCAGGAGUUAUUUGAAAAGACAUGCCCUUUUUCUCUUCUGAUUAGUAUUUGUAAAAGAAAUAAAAGCAAAAAAUUCAAGUGACCGUGAGUAGGCCCUGCAGAUGAAAGCCAUUUUCUUCAGUCUUAAAUUAAUCCUUAAAAACAACUCUUAAAGGCUACAAUUAUUUUUAUGACAGAUUCAAAUAGCCCCUCACAUUAAAAGUGUUCCCAAAAGGUAUAUCAUCAAUAGAUUCCAGAAAUUAUACUCGAGUCUACACUCUUUGACCUCCAUAAUGAAAGGUCUAGAAAGAAAAGUACACUGAGGCAUCAGGGUCUCAUCUUCCCUGGUAGGGAGGGCCCAGAGUCAUUUCUGGUGCCGAAUCCCUAGGGUGGUUUCUGAACCAAACCAUUAACUUACACGAGUUCUAACAUGGGUAUAGAUCUCUGUAGACUGCUCUCAGGAGUUCGUUCUGAUAGCCUCUCCUCCACCAACCACUCUAUUCAUUGCCAACAAGAGGUUGGGAAAAUCUCAGUAUCCAGGACACAAGGAUAUGCCCAGAACAGGUUUGGGAGCCAGACUGCCUGGCCUUGAGUACUGGGUCAACCAGUUCCUGGCUGUGUAACCUGGACGGGUUACUUUACCUCUUCCUCCUCUUGCCCUCCUGUAUAACAAGGAUAAUAACUGCUACCUUCUAUGGUUUUAUCAAGAUUAAGGAAACUAGUUCACAAAUGAAUAGCACCAGGCAUUGUAGCAAACACUCACUGAGUUUUUCCUAUCGUCAUUUAACAUUUUGGCACCUUAACGUAGUGCUGGUUAUUGUUGUCGUUAUUGUUUAUUUUAGAGAGAGAACACUCAAGCAGGGGAGAGGGGGCAGAAGGGGAGAGGGAGAAUAUUAAAGCUGAGCACAGAGCCUGACAUGGGGCUUUAUCCCACAACCCAUGGCUAGGAUCAUGACCUGAGCCAAAAAUCAAGAGUUGGAGGCUCAACCGACUGAGCCACCCAGGAGCCCCAUUCAGUGCUGCUUUUAAUCAUUGAUUGGUAGGAAGUCCAUGGUUUCAGUACAGAUUGCAGAUUUUUUUUUUAAUGUUAUCCAUUUGAGAGAGCGCACAUGUGCGCAAGCAGGGGAGGGGCAGAGACAGGGAGACAGAAUCUAAAGAAGGUUCCAGGCUCCAAGAUGGCAGCACAGAGCCCAACACAGGGCUCAAUGCAUGAACCGUGAGAUCAGGAGCUGAGCCAAAAUUGGACACUCAACUGACUGAGCCACCCAGGCACCCCCAGACUGCAAAUUUUUAAAAGACAUAGGUGUCUAAAAACACAGUUGGAAGAAGGCUACUAAAUGUUUUCCUUAACAAGCAAAAGGCUCUUAUCUCUAUGAUAUCAGAAUGGCAAUCACACACACACACACACCCCAUCUACUAGCUGUCAUUAGUUUCACCCCUGGAGCGGCCACUAAUAAGCACAUGAGUAUCCUGCUCAUUUCUCUCUCACCCCUUCACUAUAUUCUAGGUACUACGUUAAGGCUUUUUAUACGUAUUAUUUCAUUUAACACUUAAAACAACAUUUUAGUGGAGAUUAGUACCAUUUUCAUUUUUCAGGUCAGGUACCUGUGAUUUAAAGGACAAACAAGUUCCCCAAGGUCACACAAUCUUGGAUCUAGGAAGUGAUCCCAGGUUUGAUGAUAAACACUGAACUCCCAAGCACUGUAUCUACCCCACUGCCACACGUCAUUUACACCCUGCUUCGAUGAAGCAUAGAAAAGAAGAAUACAAGAGCUACGUAUUCACGUGCACAUGGAUCAUUCUUAGAGGGCAGGGUUUCCGUCUGGGUCUAUGGCCUCCUUCUGAUCUCCAACUCACCUACGUUCUACACAUCAUUUUUAAGAAUGCAUUUCCAAAGGGCAAUUACUUUCUGGAGGAAGGAAAAUGAUUUUAUGUGAGAGGCUGCUAUUUUAAGGUGUUUAGCUUUUCACUUAGAAGCCCCAAACUAGCAUUCUUUAAAUGCAAAUUUGAAAAGUGAGGCAUUUUUAUAUACAAUGAUUUUUUAAAUUGGAGAGGGGAGGAAGAGGAAGGUGGUGUAAUCAGGCUUUGAACCGUAUAGCCCUUUCUUAGACUACAACUCACUCUUUGCCUCAAAGCAGCACAAGAGGUACCUCACUCUCAGCCUAUCAGAACUUUAGACCGAAAUACAGCUUGGAGGAAAGAUUACACUGGAUAUUUUUUCUUUUUUAUUUAAUGUUUACUUAUUUUGAGAGAGAGAGAGAGAGAGAGAGAGACGGAGACAGAGAGAGAGGGAGGGAGGGAGGGAGGGAGAGAGAGGCUCAGAGAAGGAGAGAAAGAAUCCCAGGCAGGCUCCACACUGUCAGUGCACAGAGCCUGACGUGGGGCUCGAUCUCACAGAUUGAACUGUGAGAUCAUGACCUGAGCCAAAAUCAAGAGUCCGAGUUGGGUUGUUUUUUUUUUUUUUUUUUUUUUUUUUUUUUUGCUUGCUUGUUUUAAUGAAUUUGAUACGAUCUUUGGGUUUCAAUUGCAUUUCCCCUAUAGGCAGGCAAAUUAAAAUUAUUACUUACUUUUUCUUUUCACUUGUGAGAUUGCCUGAAGAAAAUUAGAUUGAUUUUGCUAUAGUGAAAAUGACAACUGACAAUUUGAAAGUCAAAACUUUCUGUGUUCAAGUGGAAAACAGGCAGACAGGGGUCAUCUCAUUUUGGUUUGUAUUUGACUAAGCAUCAUUGUGUGUGUGUGCAGUGUGGGGAAGGAUGUGGUGUGCACGUGCACUUCCCAAAUGUCACUUCAAGAAUCAUGUGUGCUCCAGCUCUAUUUCCUAUCAAGUAUUUUCAUCUGUUUGACUGUUUAACCUCUACUCACUAAGGAAUAACUUAAUCAAAAAACUCAAUCUGUUUCAGGUGUUACUUUCUCCAGGGAUAUAAUCUCAAGAUGUUGAUCUCUUUUUCUAUUCAAUUAGAUAUACCCUGUGACCUAAAAAAUUAUUGGGUUGCUCCAGUCUUUUCGUUAUAAAAUGUUGUUGGUGCAAUUCAGCACACUCUUAAGGAGGUCAAGAUUGAGAGAUAAUUUUCUUUGGGUUUAGUUUCUGGCUAUUCUUAAGAUUUCAUUAAAAUAGAUCCUAGAGUUUAAUGUUUUUGAAUGUUAUAAUUAUUUAACUUGCUUUUCUCAAACAAAGAUUUUCUCAACUACUUUUAUUAAGUAGCAACCACACAGGACAGAGGCAGUUCUGUUUUUCUAAGUCAGACUCUAGAAGAGCAGUUGGCAAACUUUCUAUGAAGGGCCAGAGAGUAAAUAUUUUCUGCUCUGCAGACUAUGCAGUUCUUUCUACAACUACUCAACUCUGCUAUUGUAGCAUGGAAAUAGCCAUAGAUGAUAUAGAAACAAAUUAGCAGGACUGGGCUUUUUUUUUUUUUUUUNNNNNNNNNNNNNNNNNNNNNNNNNNNNNNNNNNNNNNNNNNNNNNNNNNNNNNNNNNNNNNNNNNNNNNNNNNNNNNNNNNNNNNNNNNNNNNNNNNGGGGGGGGCAGAUGGGGGGAGAGGGGGAGGGAGAGAAUCUUAAGCAGGCUCCAUGCUUAGCACAGAGCCUGACUUGGGGCUUGAUCCCAUGACCCUGGAAUCGUGACCUAAGCCAAAAUCAAGAGUCAGGCACUCAACCAACUGAGCCACCAGACAACCUAACAUGACUGUGUUCUAGUAAAACUUUAUUCACAAAACCAGGCAGUGAUGCACGUGUGGCCCACAGGUCAUAGUUUUCCAACCCUCCCUGGAGCAUAUCAAAAGGCUAAAUUUCUCAGGGUUGCUGAUCUUCUACCCAAAUCCACAACAUAGGUUGUUUAACAAAUUUAGUGAUUGGGAUGCUAUAAUUAUCCAUAUUGUAUUUUAUGCACUUGUCUGCAUAUCUGUGUUCUAUUUCAUAAUGAAGUUUGGGGUUUUUUUGAUUUUUGUUUUUUUUAAGUAAGUGAUCAAGUGAUCAGGAAGGUUGGCCAAGGUUUAGAAGGAGGAUACAAAGGGAACUUUUCUGGAUGGGUCAAAGAUUUUUACAGAGACUGAGAAAGUUUGGAGUUGGACGAAACGCACUAUUACACAGUCCAAUCUUCUUCCCAAUGGAGGAAUUUCUUUUGCAACACCCCUGGCAGGUAUUCAGUUAACCUCUGAGGGAAAAUGUUUUGGGCUAGAUUGGGAGGAAGGAUUACCAAUUUAUAAAGCAAAACUGGUCCUCUCUAUUUCAUUCAAUACAUAUGCUUAUGGACACAAAAGCAAAGCCAAAAAAGCAAAAACAAACAAGUGGGACUACAUCAAAUUAAAAAGCUUCUGCACAGUAAAGCAAAUUAGCAACAAAAUGAAAAGGCAACCUGCAGAAUGUGAGAAAGUAUUUGCAAAUUGUGUCAAUAGCCAAAAAAAAAAAAUCUGAUUAAAAACUGAGAUGAACUAAAUAGACAUUUUUUAAAAGACCAAAAACAGCUUAUAGGGAUAUAAUACUUGAAAAGGUUUUCAACAUCACUAACUGGGGAAAUUCAAAUCAAAAUGCAAAUAUCACCUCACCCUUGUUAGAAUGGCUACAUCAAGAAGAUAAGAAGUGCUGGCAAGAAUGUAGAGAAAAGGGAACCCUUGCGCACUGUCGGUAGAAAUGUAAAUUGGUACAGCCACUGUGGAAAACCGUAUGGAAGUUCCUCAGAAAAUUAGAAAUAGAACUACCAUAUGAUCCAGCAAUCCUACUUCUGGGUAUAUAUUCAAAGGAAAUGAAAAUAGGAUAUUGAAGAGAUAUCUGCACUCCCAUGUUCACUGCAGCACUGUGUGUGUGUGUGUGUGUGUGUGUUUCCUCACACCAACAAGCAAUUAUCAGACACUAGCAUGGUCUCCAAGAUUUCAACUCAAUUUAAGUCAAUUUUGGCACUACCUACACCUGGAGAUUACAUCAGCUUCCACAGACAAAACAACUCAGCCCCACAAGACCAUCCUCCACUUCAGGGGCCAUUUGCAAGCCCAGGUUAUUUAUUACCUGUGCUUCUCAAUCAACUAGCUAAGUGAAAAUCAGAUUUCCAAAACCCCUCUCUGGAUUUGAUUAAUUUGCUAGAACAGCUUACAGAACCCAGAGAAACAUUUUACCUACUAGAUCAUUGGUUUAUUACAAAAGGAUAGAACUUGGGAACAGCCAGAUGCAAGAGAAGUAUAGAGCAAGACCUGGGGAAAGGGCAAAGAGCUUCCAUGACCUCUCUAGGUACACCACUCUCCCAUCAGCUCCAUGGGUUCACCAACCUGGAGACUCUCUGAACCCUGACCUUUUGGGGCUUUAGGGAGGUUUCAUUACAUAGCCAUGACAAUUAAGUCAUUGUCCAUUGGCAACUGAUGAACCCUCCAGUUCCUCCUCCCUUCUGGGACUAAAAGUGCCAACCCUCUAAUCACAUGGUUAGCCCCACUGGCAACCAGCCCCCUUUCUAACCUGCUUAAGUCACCUCAUUAACAAAAGAGCUUUAUUGCAUUUAGAAAAUUCCAAGCAUUUUAGGAGCUCUGUACCAGAAACAGGGACAAAAAACAAGCAUUUCUUAUUAUAAAUCAUAAUAUAUCACACACACACACACACACACACACGCGAAUAUUAUUCUGUAAUACCUAUGAAGGAAAUUCUGCCAUUUGCAACAUGGACGACCUUGAGGACAUUACGCUUAAGUGAAUAAGCCAGACAAAAAGACAAAUGCUGCAUGGUGUCAUUUAUAAGUGGAAUCUUAACCAAAAAAAAGAAAAAAAAAAGUCAAACUCAUAGAAACAGACUAGAAGAGGGGUAUCUGGGGGAAAUAGGAAGAGGUUGGUAAAAGGGUACAAACUUUCAAAAAUAAAUCUUCCUGUGCAAUGACCAGGUUCCAAUCAUAAGGCUUGACCCUGUGAGAACACAAACAUCCCUGACACUGUCAGUCCUGUAGGGAGCUCACCGUCUAAUGAAAGAAAUAAGACAAGAUGCAAAUAGUUACAACAGAAAGUAGAAGUAGUAGAAAGUUAUUAUGACUUAAAGAUGACCACAGACAACCCAAUUUAAGAAUGAGGGAAGGGGGGCCCUGGGUGGCUCAGUCGGUUAAGUGUCUGACUUCAGCUCAGGUCAUGAUCUUGUGGUCCAUGGGUUCGAGCCCGACGUCAGGCUCUGUGCUGACAGCUCAGAGCCUGGAGCCUGCUUCGGAUUCUGUGUCUCCCUCUCUCUCUGCCCCUCCCCACUCGCACUCUGUCUCUCUCACUCUCAAAAAUAAGUAAACAUUAAAAAAAAUUGUUUUAAUGAGGGAAGGAUUUGAACAGGCACUCCACAGACCUAGGAAGAGAUGCUCCAUGUUAUUAGUUACCACACAAGUACAAAGUAAAAACCACACUAAAGGUACCAUUUCACACCCACCAGACCAGCAAAACGUACAAGCCAGACACUCUCAGGGGCUGGCAAGGAUAUGGACAAUGAGGACACGCAGGGCUAUUGUGGGGAUUGAAUGAGUUGACAUGAGUGCAGGCACGCAGUAAACUGUGUGACUUAGCCAUCAGUCAUCAUCAUCACGGUUGUUGAAAUUAUGUACAGAUGGUCAAAGUGUAAAUGGCUAUAACCAAUUUGGAAAACAAUUUGGAAAACAAUUUGGUCUUUAAUAUAGCCGAGCAGGUUUAUACCCUAUGGUCCAGCAAUUCCACUCCUGGGUAGAUCCCUAGAGAACCUCCUGCACCUGAACACAUACAAAAGCGAAUUCAGAAAAUUCUUAAUAGCCCCAAACUGGAAUCACACAAGUGUCUGUAAAUGGUGGAAUAGAGAUAGUAGGUAUACUAAUAUAAUGGAAUACUACACAGGAGCAGAUAUAAAGGAACUACUCCUGUCCAUAACACAGAUGAAUCUCCUCCAACUUACCUUCAGGUGGAAAAAGUCUAAAAAAAUAUACUGUUUGCUCCAGUUUAAAUAAAAUUUAAUAAAAACAAACUAUGUGUAAUGAUUCAUGCUAGUUAUACUUGAAUUUUAAGAAAUACAACUUUUUAAAAGCUUUUUUAAACUAAACUAUGUAUAGUUUAGGGAUAUGAAUGUGUAAUAAAACUAUAAAAUAAAUCAAGAAUAUGAAAAUUCCCAAAUUUAGGAGAAUGGUUACCUUUAAUAUGGGGGAGAGAAAAAAAUAGGAUGGGGGAGAGGCCACAAGAGCACUGAAAGGCAAUAUUUAUGAUCUUUUGUUUAAACCUCAUGGUGGAGCCCUUUCACGAAGAUGGUGUCAAAGGCAAAGAAGGAAGCCCCUGCCCCUCCCUAAGCUGAAGCCAAAGCAAAGGCUUUGAAGGCCAAGAAAGCAGUGCUGAAAGGCAUCCACAGUCAUAAAAAAAAAAAAAAAGAUCUGCAUGUCACCUACAUUCCAAUGGCCCAAGACACUGCAUCUCCGAAGGCAGCCCAGAUAUCCUCGAAAGAGUGCCCCCAGGAGAAACAAGCUUGACCACUAUGCCAUCAUCAAGUUUCCCCGGACUAUCGAGUCAGCCACAAAGAAAAUAGAAGACAACAACACUUUUGUGUUCAUUGUGUAUGUCAAGGCCAACAAGCACCAGAUCAAACAGGCUGUGAAGAAGCUCUAGGACAUUGACCAAGUGGCCAAGGUCAACACUCUGAUCGGGUCCGAUGAAGAAAAGAAAGCAUAUGUUCGACUGGCUCCUGACUAUGAUGCUUUGGAUGUUGCCAACAAAAUUGGGCUCAUCUAAACUGAGUCCAGCUGGUUAAAUCUAAGUUUUUUCAACAUAAAAAAAAUGAUAAUAAAAAAAUAAGUAAUUAAAUAAAUAAACCUUGUGG
rnacentral:lncRNA from 1 species